GCCUUCCAGCCCCGCCCCAAGCGCCGAGGCCCGGCUUCCAGGCUCCGCCCCGAUCCGCGCGGUGGGGAAGAGCCGCUGCCGCUGGUUCUCCGGCUCUUCCUCGGCGGUUCUGGCUCCCGGCCGCGCCGCAGCCCUGCCCAGUCUCUCUCCCGCAGCCCGAAGGGCUCCUCCGCGCCGCACGUGAGCGCGCCCGCCAACAGGGCCACUGCCGCGAUACUUUUCUGUUGUGAGAAUGUAAGAUGGAUCCAGAAGAGCAGGAGCUCUUAAAUGAUUACAGAUACAGAAGCUACUCUUCAGUGAUUGAAAAGGCUUUGAGAAAUUUUGAGUCCUCGAGUGAAUGGGCGGAUCUUAUAUCUUCACUUGGCAAACUCAACAAGGCUCUUCAGAGUAACCUGAGGUACUCCUUGUUGCCAAGACGGCUCCUCAUCAGCAAAAGAUUAGCUCAGUGUUUGCAUCCUGCCCUGCCCAGUGGUGUGCACUUAAAAGCUCUAGAAACCUACGAGAUUAUCUUUAAAAUUGUGGGGACCAAAUGGCUGGCCAAGGACUUGUUUCUGUACAGCUGCGGGUUAUUUCCUCUCCUGGCACACGCGGCGGUGUCGGUGAGGCCGGUGCUGCUCACCCUGUACGAGAAGUACUUCCUCCCACUGCAGAAGCUGCUCCUGCCCAGUCUGCAGGCCUUCAUCGUGGGCCUGCUGCCCGGCCUUGAAGAGGGCUCCGAGAUCUCCGACAGAACGGAUGCUCUGCUCCUGAGACUGUCGCUGGUGGUUGGCAAAGAGGUGUUUUACACCGCCCUCUGGGGGAGCGUCCUGGCCAGCCCGUCCAUCCGCCUCCCUGCCUCAGUCUUCGUGGUGGGCCACAUCAACAGGGAUGCCCCCGGCCGGGAGCAGAAGUACAUGCUGGGGACCAAUCACCAACUCACGGUGAAGUCUUUGCGUGCCUCCCUGUUGGACUCAAAUGUUCUUGUGCAAAGAAAUAAUCUGGAAAUCGUUCUGUUUUUCUUCCCAUUUUAUACCUGUCUGGAUUCCAAUGAGAGAGCCAUCCCCCUCCUCAGAUCUGACAUCGUGCGCAUUCUCUCAGCUGCCACCCAGACCCUACUGAGAAGGGACAUGUCCCUGAACAGAAGACUGUAUGCAUGGUUACUAGGCUCGGACAUAAAAGGAAAUACCGUUGUGCCAGAAUCUGAAAUCUCAAAUUCUUAUGAAGACCAGUCGUCUUAUUUUUUUGAAAAAUACUCCAAGGAUCUUUUAGUUGAGGGUUUGGCUGAGAUAUUGCAUCAGAAGUUCAUAGAUGCUGACGUGGAGGAACGCCAUCAUGCAUACCUGAAGCCUUUUCGCGUCCUCAUCAGUCUGCUUGACAAGCCAGAAAUAGGGCCUCAAGUGGUUGGGAAUUUGUUUCUCGAAGUCAUCAGGGCCUUUUAUUCUUACUGCAGAGAUGCCCUUGGCUCUGAUCUUAAACUUAGCUACACCCAGAGUGGAAAUUCGCUGAUAAGUGCAAUCAAGGAAAACAGAAAUGCCUCUGAGAUAGUCAAAACGGUAAAUUUGCUGAUAACUUCUCUAAGCACAGACUUUCUCUGGGAUUAUAUGACAAGGUGUUUUGAGGAAUGCUUUAGACCAGUGAAGCAGCGUUACAGCGUGAGGAACAGCGUCAGCCCUCCCCCCACGGUCUCGGAGCUCUGCACCCUCCUGGUCUUCCUGCUGGAUGUCAUUCCCUUGGAACUUUACUCUGAGGUGCAAACCCAGUAUCUCCCUCAGGUGCUCGGCUGCCUGGUGCAGCCUCUUGCUGAGGACAUGGAGGCCUUAAGUUUACCUGAACUCACGCAUGCCUUGAAGACGUGUUUCAAGGUGCUCAGCAAAGUCCAGAUGCCUCCUUCCUACCUCGACACGGAGUCCACCAGCGGAACCUCGAGUCCAGUAAAAGGUGAAAAUGGCAAAAUAAUUUUGGAAACAAAGGCAGUGAUUCCCGGUGACGAAGAUGCUUCGUUUCCCCCUCUGAAGUCUGAGGACAGUGGGAUCGGGCUCAGUGCCUCGUCACCGGAGCUCUCUGAGCACUUGAGGGUUCCUCGAGUUUCUCUGGAAAGGGACGAUGUUUGGAAGAAGGGCGGGAGCAUGCAGAGGACGUUUCUUUGUAUCCAAGAGCUAAUCGCCAACUUUGCCAGCAAGAACAUUUUUGGAGUACAGCUGACAGCGUCAGGAGAAGAAAGCAAGUCCGAGGAGCCUGCAGGGAAGAGGGACAGGGAUGGGACGCAGAGCCUGGCAGCCAAUGAUUCCAGCAGGAAGAACUCUUGGGAGCCCAAGCCCAUCACUGUGCCUCAGUUCAAGCAGAUGCUUUCAGACUUGUUCACAGCACGAGGGUCUCCAUUCAAGACAAAAAGUUCAGAGUCACCAUCGUCUUCGCCCAGCAGCCCUGCCAGGAAAAACGGGGGAGAAUGGGAUGUUGAGAAGGUGGUCAUUGACCUGGGGGGUUCCAGGGAGGAACGCAGGGAGGCCUUUGCCGCCGCCUGCCACCUGCUGCUGGAUUGUGCCACUUUCCCUGUCUACCUGUCCGAGGAAGAGACCGAGCAGCUCUGUGCAACGCUCUUCCAGCUGCCAGGAGCCGGUGAUUCCAGUUUUCCAUCUUGGCUGAAGUCCCUCAUGACUAUUUGCUGCUGUGUGACUGACUGCUACCUCCAGAACGUGGCCAUUUCCACUCUGCUGGAAGUGAUAAACCAUUCCCAGUCCCUGGCGCUUGUCAUUGAAGACAAGAUGAAACGCUAUAAGAGCUCUGGACACAACCCUUUUUUUGGCAAGCUGCAGAUGGUGACGGUUCCUCCCAUUGCUCCAGGGAUAUUGAAAGUCAUUGCAGAGAAAACAGAUUUCUAUCAGAGGGUGGCUCGUGUGCUUUGGAAUCAGCUGAACAAAGAGACCCGGGAGCAUCACGUCACCUGCGUAGAAUUGUUCUACCGGCUGCACUGCCUGGCCCCUACGGCCAACAUCUGCGAGGACAUCAUCUGCCAUGCCCUCCUGGACCCUGACAAGGGAACAAGGCUGGAAGCUCUGUUUAGAUUUUCCGUGAUCUGGCACCUGACAAGAGAGAUCCAAGGCAGUCGAGUAACAUCUCACAAUCGCUCCUUUGAUAGGUCCUUGUUUGUCGUGCUGGACAGCCUGGCCUGCACGGAUGGUGCCAUCGGUGCGGCAGCCCAGGGCUGGCUGGUGCGUGCGCUCUCCCUCGGGGACGUGGCUCGCAUCCUCGAACCCGUGCUCCUGCUGCUGCUGCAGCCAAAAACCCAGAGAACCUCCAUCCACUGCCUCAAGCAGGAGAACUCGGCCGAUGACUUGCACCGUUGGUUUAACAGGAAGAAAACCUCUUUCAGAGAGGCAUGCGCAGUGCCCGAGCCUCAGGAGAGCGGCUCUGAAGAGCACCUGCCUCUGAGCCAGUUCACCACAGUGGACCGUGAAGCCAUUUGGGCUGAAGUGGAGAAGGAGCCCGAGAAGUACCCGCUGCGAGGCGAGCUGAGCGAGGAAGAGCUGCCCUACUACGUGGAGCUUCCAGACAGGACGGCCCACGGCGCCCCGGACAGCAGCGAGCACACCGAGUCUGCAGAUACAAGCUCCGGCCACACGGACAGCGAGAACACGUCCUCCUUCUCCUCCCCUUCCCACGACCCGCAGGAGCUGAGCAACGAAGAGUACUGCUGUGCGCCCAUCCCCAUGGGGGGCAGGGCGUACCCCAAGCGCUCGGCCCUGCUGGCGGCCUUCCAGUCAGAAAGCUUCAAGGCUGGGGCCAAGUUAAGCCUGGUGCGGGUGGACUCGGACAAGACGCAGGCUUCUGAGUCGUUCUCCAGCGACGAGGAGGCGGACUUGGAGCUCCAGGCCCUCACCACGUCCAGGCUGCUGAAGCAGCAGCGGGAAAGGCAGGAGGCCGUCGAGGCCUUGUUCAAGCACAUCCUGCUCUACCUGCAGCCCUACGACUCUCGGCGGGUCCUCUAUGCCUUCUCGGUGCUGGAGGCUGUGCUCAAAACCAACCCUAAGGAAUUCAUCGAGGCUGUGUCCAGGACCAGCAUGGAUACCAGCUCCACCGCGCACCUCAACCUCAUCUCCAACCUCCUCGCUCGCCACCAGGAGGCCCUCAUUGGCCAGAGUUUCUACGGAAAGCUCCAGACCCAGGCCCCCAACGUGUGUCCCCACUCUCUGCUCCUGGAGCUGCUCACCUACCUCUGCCUGAGCUUCCUGCGCUCCUACUACCCUUGCUAUUUGAAGGUCUCGCACCGAGACAUUCUCGGCAACCGGGACGUGCAGGUCAAAAGUGUCGAGGUUUUGAUCAGGAUAAUGAUGCAGCUGGUCUCAGUGGCCAAGUCUUCGGAAGGGAAGAACGUGGAGUUCAUCCACAGCUUGCUGCAGAGGUGCAAAGUUCAGGAGUUUGUCCUGCUCUCCCUGUCGGCGUCCAUGUACACGAGCCAGAAGCGCUACGGGCUGGCCACCGCCCACCACGGCAGGGCCCUGCCAGAGGACAGCCUCUUUGAGGAGAGUCUCAUUAACCUGGGUCAGGACCAGAUCUGGAGUGAGCACCCGCUGCAGAUUGAGCUGCUGAAGCUGCUGCAGGUGCUGAUUGUCUUGGAACACCACCUGGGUCGGGCCCACGAGGAGGCGGAAAACCAGCCCGACCUGUCCCGGGAGUGGCAGAGAGCCCUGAACUUCCAACAGGCCAUCAGCGCCCUGCAGUACGUGCAGCCCCACCCCCUCACCUCCCAGGGUCUGCUGGUCUCUGCGGUGGUGAGGGGUCUGCAGCCCGCCUACGGCUACGGCAUGCAUCCGGCCUGGGUGAGCUUGGUCACGCAUUCCUUGCCCUACUUCGGAAAGUCUCUGGGCUGGACGGUGACACCCUUUGUUGUCCAGAUUUGCAAAAACUUGGAUGACUUGGUCAAGCAGUAUGAAAGCGAAUCUGUGAAGCUCUCUGUCAGCACAACCUCCAAGAGGGAAAACAUUUCUCCAGAUUAUCCACUCACCCUUCUAGAAGGUCUAACGACCAUUAGUCAUUUUUGUCUUUUGGAACAAGCCAACCAAAACAAAAAGACCAUGGCUGCAGGUGAUCCUGCCAACUUGAGGAAUGCCAGAAAUGCCAUUUUGGAAGAGCUGCCUCGAACUGUUAACACCAUGGCCCUUCUCUGGAAUGUUCUCAGAAAGGAGGAGACUCAAAAGAGACCUGUCGAUCUCCUAGGGGCCACGAAGGGAUCCUCUUCCGUUUACUUUAAAACCACCAAAACCAUAAGACAAAAAAUUUUAGACUUCUUAAACCCCUUGACGGCCCAUCUUGGGGUUCAGUUGACAGCGGCUGUUGCGGCAGUGUGGAGCAGAAAGAAAGCCCAGCGUCACAGUAAGAUGAAGAUUAUCCCAACGGCAAGUGCAUCCCAGCUAACCCUUGUCGACUUGGUGUGUGCACUCAGCACCCUGCAGACUGACACGCUGCUGCACCUGGUGAAGGAGGUGGUGAAGAGGCCACCCCAAGUCAAAGGGGGUGAUGAGAAAUCGCCCCUAGUGGACAUUCCUGUGUUGCAGUUUUGCUAUGCUUUUCUCCAAAGGCUCCCAGUACCAGCCUUGCAAGAGAACUUUUCUUCACUGUUGGGAGUAUUGAAAGAGUCUGUACAGUUGAAUCUAGCCCCACCUGGGUAUUUUCUGCUUCUCAGCAUGCUGAAUGACUUUGUAACAAGAACUCCCAACCUGGAAAACAAGAAGGACCAAAAAGACCUGCAGGAAAUCACUCAGAAAAUCCUAGAAGCUGUGGGGAACAUUGCCGGCUCUUCCUUGGAGCAAACCAGCUGGCUAGGCAGAAACCUGGAAGUGAAGGCCCAACCUCAGGCCUCUCUAGAAGAAUCUGAUGCUGAGGAGGACCUGUAUGAUGCUGCUGCAGCUUCAGCAAUGGUGUCUUCAUCCGCCCCGUCGGUGUACAGCGUGCAAGCCCUCUCUCUCCUGGCAGAGGUGCCAGUGAGCGUGGGCCGCACCCUCCCAGGUACUGGCUUCCCUCCUGGACAUGGUUUAUCGAAGUGAUGAGAAGGAGAAAGCUGUGCCGUUAAUCUCCCGUCUGCUUUACUAUGUUUUUCCAUACUUACGCAACCACAGUGCCUACAAUGCUCCCAGCUUCCGGGCUGGCGCUCAGCUGCUGAGCUCCCUGAGUGGCUAUGCCUACACAAAGCGAGCCUGGAGGAAGGAGGUCCUGGAGCUGUUUCUCGACCCCGCUUUCUUUCAGAUGGAUACUUCCUGUGUUCAUUGGAAGUCCAUUAUUGACCAUCUUUUGACUCAUGAGAAAACAAUGUUUAAGGAUUUAAUGAACAUGCAGAGCAGUUCUUUGAAACUAUUCUCAAGUUUUGAACAGAAAGCCAUGCUGUUAAAGCGCCAGGCUUUUGCUGUCUUCAGUGGAGAACUUGAUCAAUACCACCUUUACCUUCCACUGAUACAAGAACGCCUGACAGACAAUCUCAGAGUUGGACAGACAUCCAUAGUUGCUGCUCAGAUGUUUCUUUUUUUCAGAGUUUUGCUGCUAAGAAUAUCUCCUCAACAUUUGACUUCAUUGUGGCCAAUAAUGGUCUCUGAAUUGAUUCAGACAUUCACACAGCUUGAAGAAGAUCUAAAAGAUGAGGAUGAGUCAUUGAGAAGCACCAACAAAGUAAACAGAACGAAAGUUUCAGUCCCGGAUGCAAAUGGACCCUCAGUGGGGGAGAUACCCCAGAGUGAACUCAUCUUGUAUUUAUCAGCUUGCAAAUUCUUGGACACAGCGCUUUCUUUUCCACCUGACAAGAUGCCAUUAUUUCAAAUUUAUAGGUGGGCAUUUAUUCCAGAAGUGGACACAGAGGGCCCUGCCUUCCUGUCGGAUGUAGAGGAGAAUCAGCAAGAAUGCAAACCCCACACUGUCAGGAUUCUAGAACUUCUAAAAUUAAAGUUUGGGGAAAUCAGUAGCUCUGAUGAGAUCACCAUGAAGAGUGAAUUCCCGCUUCUGCGCCAACAUUCUGUUUCCAGCAUCAGGCAGUUGAUGCCAUUCUUCAUGACUCUAAAUGGUGCAUUUAAGACCCAGAGACAGCUGCCUGCUGAUAGCCCAGGAACCCCAUUCCUGGACUUUCCUGUCACAGAUAGCCCAAGGAUCUUAAAACAACUGGAAGAAUGCAUCGAAUAUGAUUUUCUGGAACAUCCAGAAUGUUAACCAUGUGAGAGAGAAUAUGUUUAAUCCAUGUAUUGGUACUUUACUGAAAACCAGGUUAUAUUCUAAAGAAGAAAGAAGGCAGGAUAGUGCUUUUGAACAAGCCUAUUUCCAUUUUGAAAGUAGAUUUCAGGCUAGGUGCGGUGGCUCACACCUGUAAUCUCAGCACUUUGGGAGGCCGAGGCAGGCAGAUCACUUGAGGUCAGGAGUUCGAGACCAGCCUGACCAACAUGGUGAGACCCUGUCUCUACUAAAAAUACAAAAAUUAGCUGGCUGUGGUGGCGGCGCCUGUAAUCCCAGCUACUUGGGAGGCUAAGGCAUGAGAAUUGCUUGAACCCAGGAGGUGGAGGCUGCAGUGAGCCGAGAUCACGACACUGCACUCCAGCUGUGUGACAGAAUGAGACUAUCUCAAAAAAAAAAAAAAGUAGAUUUCAGAUAAUUUACUGUUCAGCAAUAGGACACACCUCCCUAAAUGCCUUGUAAUAUAUUUGAAUCUGAUUCUGCAUUUCUUCCUCAAUUUAUGUAAUGAAAAUAAAAUUAAUAUAUCAUCUAACAGUAGCACAAAAUUUGUAAUAUGAAGUAAAGUAUGAAGAUAAUGAAGAAGUUGUUUUCUUUGUUGAAGCAGUUAUAUGUGUCUUUCUCAGUAUAUUUCUCUUUUCUCUAAAAGUUUAAACUUAUUAAAAGAAUGUUAUUUUUAACCUUUCA